rnacentral:rRNA from 1 species
AUUGAACGCUGGCGGCAGGCCUAACACAUGCAAGUCGAGCGGAUGAAGGGAGCUUGCUCCUGGAUUCAGCGGCGGACGGGUGAGUAAUGCCUAGGAAUCUGCCUGGUAGUGGGGGAUAACGUCCGGAAACGGGCGCUAAUACCGCAUACGUCCUGAGGGAGAAAGUGGGGGAUCUUCGGACCUCACGCUAUCAGAUGAGCCUAGGUCGGAUUAGCUAGUUGGUGGGGUAAAGGCCUACCAAGGCGACGAUCCGUAACUGGUCUGAGAGGAUGAUCAGUCACACUGGAACUGAGACACGGUCCAGACUCCGACGGGAGGCAGCAGUGGGGAAUAUUGGGCAAUGGGCGAAAGCCUGAUCCAGCCAUGCCGCGUGUGUGAAGAAGGUCUUCGGAUUGUAAAGCACUUUAAGUUGGGAGGAAGGGCAGUAAGUUAAUACCUUGCUGUUUUGACGUUACCAACAGAAUAAGCACCGGCUAACUUCGUG